rnacentral:rRNA from 1 species
UACGGAGGGGGCAAGCGUUGUUCGGAAUCAUUGGGCGUAAAGGGCGUGUAGGCGGCCAGACAAGUCGGAUGUGAAAUCCCUCGGCUCAACCGAGGAACUGCACCCGAUACUGUCCGGCUAGAGUCCGGGAGGGGGUAGCGGAAUUCCCAGUGUAGCGGUGAAAUGCGUAGAUAUUGGGAAGAACACCAGUAGCGAAGGCGGCUACCUGGACCGGAACUGACGCUGAGGCGCGAAAGCCAGGGGAGCGAAUGGG